rnacentral:rRNA from 1 species
GAUGAACGCUGGCUGCGUGCCUAAUACAUGCAAGUCGAGCGAACAGACGAGGAGCUUGCUCCUCUGACGUUAGCGGCGGACGGGUGAGUAACACUUGGAUAACCUACCUAUAAGACUUGGAUAACUUCGGGAAACCGGAGCUAAUACCGGAUAAUAUAUUUAACCGCAUGGUUCAAUAGUGAAAGACGGUUUUGCUGUCACUUAUAGAUGGAUCCGCGCCGCAUUAGCUAGUUGGUAAGGUAACGGCUUACCAAGGCGACGAUGCGUAGCCGACCUGAGAGGGUGAUCGGCCACACUGGAACUGAGACACGGUCCAGACUCAUACGGGAGGCAGCAGUAGGGAAUCUUCCGCAAGGGGCGAAAGCCUGACGGAGCAAAGCCGCGUGAGUGAUGAAGGUCUUCGGAUCGUAAAACUCUGUUAUUAGGGAAGAACAAAUGUGUAAGUAACUAUGCACGUCUUGAAGGUACCUAAUCAGAAAGCCACGGCUAACUACGUG